UACGGAAGGUGCAAGCGUUAUCCGGUUUUAUUGGGUUUAAAGGGUGCAUAGGCGGCUUGUUAAGUCAGUUGUGAAAUCCUAGUGCUUAACGCUAGAACUGCAAUUGAUACUGAUAGGCUUGAGUUAAGAAGAGGUAAGUAGAAUUUAUGGUGUAGUAGUGAAAUGCUUAGAUAUCAUAAGGAAUACCAAUAGCGUAGGCAGCUUACUGGUCUUUAACUGACGCUGAGGCACGAAAGCGCGGGGAGCAAACAGG
rnacentral:rRNA from 1 species